rnacentral:misc_RNA from 1 species
CGGUUUAGUAUCACGCAAUUGCUAGAGCACGGGAGGAUCGGGGAACAGAUAUGUCGAUGAGGAAGAGUAAUAACCGGUAAAGAGAGAAAAAUCCCAGGGUUUGGAAAAUCGUACCCGGAUAGAGAUGAUGAUCUUCCUCUGAUGUCUCCAAGCCGGCCAUNAAUAGAAUAGAUAGAGCCUAUUACAAUAGAAUCACAUCUCGCAAAAUCAAUCACGUUUAUUAGAAGUGGACAAUAGAGUGGAAGCUGGGGAAAUGGUUGAAAUAUCGCUCAACAUAAAAAAAAACCUACUUCUUUGAAACAUCAAAUCCGGCGUAGAAACUGUUUGAAGGUGAUUUGAUGGCAGAUAUUCUGUGGGGAAAACGCUUGGACUUGGAAGAAUCGCGUAUCCCUGAUCAUCGACGAUAAAGUGGGAGAUCGCGUAUCCCUGAAGAUCGAAGAGCUUAGUGUAAAACGCUCAGGAAAAGAGAAAAACCAAGGACCUAUGGAAGAAAAAAGUCGAUGUGGUGUAGAGGUUUUUGAUGUAGUCCAUAUCUUUAUGCGCAGGAUUGAGUGAAUCGUAUCAACGAGAAAAUGGCGCAUCGAACUGAGAGAAAAAGCCGCAUGAUGGUGGAAUAUGGCGCACCGCAAUCAACGUAUGUGAGUGAAUGCAUUGGCCGAACGGUCACGUUUUACCGCGUUGUCUCAUUGGUAAUGGGGCUAGAGCUAGUAAUAGAGGUUACCCAGGCAUAAAAAAUGAAAGAAAAUCAUCUACGAGAGAGUUCCUAAGUUAUGUUCCCACUGCGUGCUUCGAGG